ACUCCUACGGGAGGCAGCAGUGGGGAAUAUUGCACAAUGGGCGCAAGCCUGAUGCAGCCAUGCCGCGUGUAUGAAGAAGGCCUUCGGGUUGUAAAGUACUUUCAGCAGUGAGGAAGGUGGGUAUGUUAAUAGCAUAUUCAUUUGACGUUAGCUGCAGAAGAAGCACCGGCUAACUCCGUGCCAGCAGCCGCGGUAAUACGGAGGGUGCGAGCGUUAAUCGGAAUUACUGGGCGUAAAGCGCAUGCAGGUGGUUUGUUAAGUCAGAUGUGAAAGCCCGGGGCUCAACCUCGGAAUUGCAUUUGAAACUGGCAAACUAGAGUACUGUAGAGGGGGGUAGAAUUUCAGGUGUAGCGGUGAAAUGCGUAGAGAUCUGAAGGAAUACCGGUGGCGAAGGCGGCCCCCUGGACAGAUACUGACACUCAGAUGCGAAAGGCUGGGGAGCAAACAGGAUUAGAUACCCUGGUAGGCUCU
rnacentral:rRNA from 1 species